rnacentral:rRNA from 1 species
CACGUAGGGCGCAAGCGUUGUCCGGAAUUAUUGGGCGUAAAGAGCUCGUAGGUGGUCUGUUGCGUCCGCUGUGAAAUCUCAGGGCUUAACCCUGAGCCUGCAGUGGAUACGGGCAGACUAGAGGUAGGUAGGGGAGAAUGGAAUUCCUGGUGUAGCGGUGAAAUGCGCAGAUAUCAGGAGGAACACCGGUGGCGAAGGCGGUUCUCUGGGCCGAUACUGACGCUGAGGAGCGAAAGCGUGGGGAGCGAACAGG